GCCCGCCUAGCUCAAUCGGAUAGAGCGUCAGACUCUUAAAGCUUGGACGGGCCAUUGUAAUCUGAAGGCUGCGAGUUCGACCCUCGCGGUGGGCU